AUGAACGCUAGCGGCAGGCUUAAUACAUGCAAGUCGAGGGGCAUCAAGGUACACGAAAGUGUAUUGUUGGCGACCGGCGGACGGGUGAGUAAUAGGUAGGUAACCUACCUCAUACUGAGGCAUAGCUGGGAGAAAUUCCAGGUAAUUCCUCAUGAGGUUAUAUGACACAUGUGAUAUAAUCAAAGGUAUCGCAAGGUACUGGUAUGAGAUGGGCUUACUGACCAUUAGCUAGUUGGUGAGAUAAGAGCUCACCAAGGCGAAGAUGGUUAGGGGUUUUGAGAGAGAGAUCCCCCACAUUGGAACUGAGAUACGGUCCAGACUCCUACGGGAGGCAGCAGUAGGGAAUAUUGGGCAAUGGGCGGAAGCCUGACCCAGCCAUGCCGCGUGAAGGAAGACGGCCUUAUGGGUUGUAAACUGCUUUUGUACGGAACGAAAAGACUCUUUCUAAUAAAGAGGGUCCAUGACGGUACCGUAAGAAUAAGCACCGGCUAACUACGUG
rnacentral:rRNA from 1 species